rnacentral:rRNA from 3 species
CCUGGGGAGUACGGCCGCAAGGUUAAAACUCAAAUGAAUUGACGGGGGCCCGCACAAGCGGUGGAGCAUGUGGUUUAAUUCGAUGCAACGCGAAGAACCUUACCUGGUCUUGACAUCCACAGAACUUAGCAGAGAUGCUUUGGUGCCUUCGGGAACUGUGAGACAGGUGCUGCAUGGCUGUCGUCAGCUCGUGUUGUGAAAUGUUGGGUUAAGUCCCGCAACGAGCGCAACCCUUAUCCUUUGUUGCCAGCGGUUAGGCCGGGAACUCAAAGGAGACUGCCAGUGAUAAACUGGAGGAAGGUGGGGAUGACGUCAAGUCAUCAUGGCCCUUACGACCAGGGCUACACACGUGCUACAAUGGCAUAUACAAAGAGAAGCGACCU